CAUGUAUGUAUAGUGAGAGAGAGAGUAUGUGUGCUUAUGUAUGUAUGUAUGUACCUAUCUAUUUUAUAUAUAUGGAGAGAAAGAGAGAGAUCUAUUUUAAGAAAUUAGUUCACACAAUUGUGGCAGCUAGCAAGUCCACUCUUCCCUGGGUCUUCAGUCAACUGGCUGGAAAACCCACUCUUCCCUGGGUCUUCAGUCAGCCAGCUGGAGAGUCUAUGUUGCAGUUCAAAUCUGAAGGCUGUCUGCUGGUAGAAUUCCUCUCUUGAGGGAGGUCAGUCUUUUUUUCUAUGAAGACCUUAAACUGAUUGGAUAAGCCCCAGCCACAUUAUAGAGGGAAACCUGCUCUACUAAAAGUCUACUGAUUUUAAUGUUAAUCUCAUCUUUAAAAAAUGGCUUCACAGAAACAACUAGAAUAAUAUGUUACAAAAUAUCUGGAUACCAUGGCCUAGUUAAGUUGACAGAUACAAUUAACUAUCACAGUAGACAUUCUAAUUUGUCUAUAUAAAAGAUUUAAAAAGGGACAAUAAGAUUCUCUGAAUUGCUGGCAGAAUUAUGUCUAUAUUUUAGCUAUUUUAUUAUAAAAAUAACACAUGGAAAAUUGGAAACAACCUAAAUGUCUAUCCAUAAAGGAUUAAGUGAGUAAGUUAUAAUAUUCUAUAAAAUACUACUAUUCAGUCAUUAAAAUAGUAUGUAGAAGCAUAGAAAAGGUCUGGCAGGUUUUAGACCAAAGGGGAAGAAAAGGACUUUGACUUUUUACUUCAUAUAUAUUGUUUUAAUUAUUUACAAGAAAGAUGUAUAUGUUCAAAAUUAAACAAUUUUAAAAAUAGCAAUAUUCAGAAAUUUCCAGAAAAUUAUAAAAAAGAAAAGAAAGAUCACCUACCUAAAUUCCUGCAAUCACAGAUAUGCAGUCAUUAACAUUUUUGUGCACAUUUUGCAGACAUCUAGACAUAGACACACAUGCAAUUUUAAUGUCAUGCACAUUUUGGUUGCUGUUCUGCAGCUGACUUAUCGAAUAUCAUGGAUAUCUUCCUAUAUCAACAAAUAUUUAAUGGUAUCUUUGAUUUUAAUAGCUGCAUUGUAUUCCAUUGUUUAUGGAAUAUAUGAAUUCCAUAAUUUACUUAACAGUUCUCCUGUAUAAUAGGAGAUGUAUUUAGAGAAUAAGAGAUAAUCUUAUGUAAUAGGAGAUAAUCAUUUAGAUCAUUUCUAAUUUUUGAACAGUACUCUAAUGAAUGGCAUUAUACUUAAUUCUUUUCCCAGUUGUCAGAUUAUUUUCUUAAGAUAAAUUCCUAGAAGAAGAUAACUGGCUCAAAGUUUAUGUGAUAAUGUUAAUUUCUUUACAACCUGACCAGCACUAGUUUUAAUUAAUCUUUUCAAUAUGUGGCAAUCUGAUAUGUGAGAAAA
rnacentral:lncRNA from 10 species